AACGAACGCUGGCGGCAGGCUUAACACAUGCAAGUCGAACGGGUGUAGCAAUACAUCAGUGGCAGACGGGUGAGUAACACGUGGGAACCUUCCUAGGGGUACGGAACAACUCAGGGAAACUUGAGCUAAUACCGUAUACGUCCGUGAGGAGAAAGAUUUAUCGCCCUUACGACGGGCCCGCGUCGGAUUAGCUAGUUGGUGGGGUAACGGCCGUACCAAGGCGACGAUCCGUAGCUGAUCUUAGAGGAUGAUCAGCCACACUGGGACUGAGACACGGCCCAGACUCCUACGGGAGGCAGCAGUGGGGAAUCUUGGACAAUGGGCGCAAGCCUGAUCCAGCCAUGCCGCGUGAGUGAAGAAGGUCUUCGGAUUGUAAAGCUCUUUUGCCAGGGACGAUAAUGACGGUACCUGGAGAAUAAGCCCCGG
rnacentral:rRNA from 1 species